rnacentral:misc_RNA from 1 species
GCAAACUUGGUCAUUUAGAGGAAGUAAAAGUCGUAACAAGGUCUCCGUUGGUGAACCAGCGGAGGGAUCAUUACCGAGUUUUCAACUCCCAAACCCAUGUGAACAUACCAAUCGUUGCUUCGGCGGGAUCGUCCCGGGUUCCUCCCUCCUCGGGGGGGGGCUCCCCGGAAACCAUGGCGCCCGCCGGGGGUCCGAAACUCUUGUUUUUUGCAAUGUGGCAUUCUGAGUGAUUAUAAACAAAUGAAUCAAAACUUUCAACAACGGAUCUCUUGGUUCUGGCAUCGAUGAAGAACGCAGC